rnacentral:rRNA from 1 species
GGGGGGUGCGAGCGUUGUCCGGAAUCACUGGGCGUAAAGGGCGCGUAGGUGGCGUGAUAAGGGUGUGGUGAAAGCCCGGGGCUCAACCCCGGGUCUGCCAUGCCGACUGUCAGGCUAGAGUACUGUAGGGGCAGGCGGAAUUCCGGGUGUAGCGGUGGAAUGCGUAGAGAUCCGGAGGAAGACCGGUGGCGAAGGCGGCCUGCUGGGCAGUUACUGACACUGAGGCGCGACAGCGUGGGGAGCAAACAGGAUUAGAUACCCUGGUAGUCCACGCCGUAAACGAUGGGUACUAGGUGCCUGGGGGAGCGACCCCUUGGGUGCCGGCGCUAACGCAGGAAGUACCCCGCCUGGGGAGUACGGCCGCAAGGCUG